rnacentral:misc_RNA from 1 species
AAGUCGUAACAAGGUUUCCGUAGGUGAACCUGCGGAAGGAUCAUUAUUGAAAUAAACCUGAUGGGUUGUUGCUGGUUCUCUAGGGAGCAUGUGCACACUUGUCAUCUUUAUAUCUCCACCUGUGCACCUUUUGUAGAUCUGGAUAGCUUUCUAAAUGCCUAGCAUUUGGGUUUGAAGAUUGACUUUUCUGUCUUUCUUUACAUUUUCAGGUCUAUGUUUCUCCAUAUACCCCAAUGUAUGUUAUAGAAUGUAAUGAAUGGGUCUUUGUGCCUAUAAAUUUAUACAA